rnacentral:rRNA from 1 species
AUGCAAGUCGAACGCGAAAACCCCGCAAGGGGUUAGUAGAGUGGCGAACGGGUGAGUAACACGUGGGUGACCUACCUUCGAAUGGGGGAUAACGUCCCGAAGGGGACGCUAAUACCGCAUAACAUCCUGCUUUUGAACAAGUGGAGAUCAAAGCCGGGGAUCGCAAGACCUGGCGUUUGAAGAGGGGCCCGCGUCUGAUUAGCUAGUUGGUGAGGUAACGGCUCACCAAGGCGACGAUCAGUAUCCGGCCUGAGAGGGCGGACGGACACACUGGGACUGAGACACGGCCCAGACUCCUACGGGAGGCAGCAGUGGGGAAUUGUUCGCAAUGGGCGCAAGCCUGACGACGCAACGCCGCGUGGAGGAUGAAGGUCUUCGGAUUGUAAACUCCUGUUGCCCGGGACGAAACGCUUCGACCUAACACGUCGAAGUUUGACGGUACCGGGUGAGGAAGCCCCGGCUAACUCUGUGCCAGCAGCCGCGGUAAUACAGAGGGGGCAAGCGUUGUUCGGAAUUACUGGGCGUAAAGGGCGCGUAGGCGGCCUUCUAAGUCGAACGUGAAAUCCCCGGGCUCAACCCGGGAACUGCGUCCGAUACUGGAAGGCUUGAAUCCGGGAGAGGGAUGCGGAAUUCCAGGUGUAGCGGUGAAAUGCGUAGAUAUCUGGAGGAACACCGGUGGCGAAGGCGGCAUCC